UCUCCGUAGGUGAACCUGCGGAGGGAUCAUUACAGAGUUCAUGCCCUACCGGGUAGAUCUCCCACCCUAUGUUAUUAUUACUUUGUUGCUUUGGCGGGCCGUUAGGCUCCGGCCCGACUACCGGCCCCGGCUGUUAAGCGCCCGCCAGAGGACCCAAAACCCUGAAUAUUAGUGUAGUCUGAGUACUAUAUAAUAGUUAAAACUUUCAACAACGGAUCUCUUGGUUCUG
rnacentral:misc_RNA from 1 species